CAGCAAGGCGUGGGGUGGGGUGGGGGAGAAGAAGGCAGCCAGCGGGGAGACAGGAGACAUGAAUCGAUAAGCACGGAAGGGGCGAAAAUUCACAACAAACUGAAGAAUCUCAACCUCCUGGAGGAAAGUUAAUCGAUAAACUAAUUAACUGUUUGCAAGCUUUGUAAUUGCUUGAUCAGAAGAAUUAGGAUGAGGGAUUGGAGGUUGCACGAUAUCCAGGGAUAAAGGCCAAAAUCAUAGAACCCUUGGCUGCUUUUUUUUUUCCCAAAUUGCAUUUGAUUUUAUUGCACUAGGAAGGGGGAAAUUAUUUUUCUUCUUUUUUUUAAACAAAAUAAUCAAGGGGGAAAGGAGAAGGGGAAAAUGCCAUUUCAUUAAGGCGAGAUCAGAGGAUUUAAAAUAUAUAUAUAUUUUUUUUUUGCCCCUCAAACUGCUGGCGGCUUUUGAUCUCUUUGUCUGUUUCACCGAGACGACCGUCAAGUCCAGGUUGGGAUUCCGUUUAUUUCAUUGCUACAUCUUUUUUUUUUUUUUUUUUUUGGUUACUGUUCCGAAUUCGAGGCUUGCUCUAGCUUGCUCUUUUUUUGGACCAAUGAAGGAACCAGACGCCAUCAAACUUUUCAUCGGACAAAUCCCUAGGAAUCUCGAAGAGAAGGACCUUAAGCCCAUCUUUGAACAGUUUGGCAAGAUCUACGAGUUGACGGUCAUUAAGGAUAAAUACACUGGCAUGCAUAAAGGAUGCGCUUUCCUGACCUACUGUGCCCGCGAAUCUGCCCUCAAAGCCCAAAGUGCUCUUCAUGAGCAGAAAACACUGCCAGGGAUGAACCGACCCAUCCAGGUGAAACCAGCAGACAGUGAAAGCAGAGGAGAAGACAGGAAGCUGUUUGUGGGGAUGCUGGGUAAGCAACAGACAGACGAGGACGUCCGGAAAAUGUUUGAGCCCUUUGGCAGUAUCGACGAGUGCACGGUACUCCGCGGGCCCGAUGGCACCAGCAAAGGCUGUGCCUUUGUGAAGUUCCAGACACACGCAGAAGCGCAGGCAGCCAUCAACACGUUGCACGGCAGUCGCACGUUGCCGGGCGCCUCCUCGAGCCUCGUGGUGAAAUUCGCGGACACGGAAAAGGAAAGAGGUCUCCGGCGCAUGCAGCAAGUGGCCAACCAGCUGGGCAUGUUCAGCCCCAUCGCAUUGCAGUUCGGGGCGUACAGCGCCUAUACCCAAGCACUAAUGCAGCAGCAGGCAGCGCUGGUUGCUGCGCACUCCGCCUACCUCAACCCCAUGGCGACGAUGGCCGCCGUCCAGAUGCAGCAAAUGGCCACCAUCAACCCCAACGGCCUCAUCGCCACCCCCAUCACGCCCUCCUCAGGUACCAGCACGCCGCCCACUAUUGCUGCCACACCAGUGUCUGCCAUCCCGGCCACCCUCAGCGUCAAUGGGUACAGCCCCGUCCCCACGCAGAGCACGGGACAGCCUGCCUCUGAGGCCAUCUACACCAAUGGUGUCCACCCAUAUCCAGCACAGAGCCCGGCCGCCCCUGUGGACCCGUUGCAGCAGGCCUACGCUGGGAUGCAGCACUAUACAGCUGCCUACCCCGCUGCCUACGGCCUGGUGAGCCCAGCCUUCCCUCAGCAACCAGCCGCUAUCAUCACCCAGCAACCUCCUCCCCAGCAGCAGCAGCAGCGGGAAGGUCCCGAAGGCUGUAACAUCUUCAUUUACCACCUGCCGCAGGAGUUUACGGACUCAGAGAUCUUGCAGAUGUUCCUCCCCUUCGGGAACGUAAUCUCUGCCAAAGUCUUUGUCGAUCGGGCCACUAAUCAAAGCAAAUGUUUCGGAUUCGUGAGUUUUGACAAUCCCGCCAGCGCUCAGGCUGCCAUCCAGGCCAUGAACGGCUUCCAGAUUGGCAUGAAGCGGCUCAAGGUCCAGCUCAAGCGGCCCAAAGAUGCCAACCGGCCGUACUGAACUGCCAUCCACCAGCACAACCCGCCUCCUCCUCGCGGGCAGGGUCCCCGCCAUAUCUUGAGAGGACUCUGUUCCUAGCGCCACCCUUCGCUCGCUGUCGCGGGAGACCUAGCUCCGCCCCCCUUGACUGGAGCUCAACGGAGGAGCAAAGUCCGCUAAAUUCUUGUCCCCUGCCCAUUCCUACUCCCGAGUUCCCCCUCUUCCUUGGCUCUUCUUCCUCCUCAUAGAUCACAGAAAGCCGCCUGUUCCCAAAGUCGAGGGACUCCGCUUUCUUUGCCAGCUCUAACCCGAAGGAUCUCCAGUUGCGUCCAACCGACUCCUCUUCCGGGGACAGAUUCGAUCAGAUGGGCUUCGCCAGACGUUUCUGCCCCCAGUCCACUUGGAUUCUGCCCCUGCCCUCUCUCUCUCUCACACACACACACACACUCACUCAGCCAAGGAGCACUGUGGGGACCAGAGUGCCAAGCACCCAGCCUGCAAAAGGCCUUUUGCAAACAGAAGCUCGCAUUUCAAGAAAGGACCCCUCAGGGCUCGGACCAGACAACUUGGGCAGAAGAAAAGGAGAGCCCCAGGACCAACCCAGAUAGACACCCAACCGCCUUUCGGGCCCGCAGCAUGACCCCUUCCCCUAAGCUGCUCCUGUACACCAGUGGAUGAUGCAGGGUUCUAGCAAAGUAGCGGAUGCUGCCGCAGGGGGGCCACUGGGAGAGUUUUUGGAUAAAGUAAAGUAAUAAUCCACCCCCAGCCAGCCAGCCUCUAAAUGGCAGGAGAACCUCGUUCUGGCGGUGGGGUUGCUGGGAAAGAGAGGAUUCCAGACUGGCUUGCAGAAGCAGUUGGAGAGAGAAUUGGGAAGCUACCUAUUAUUGUAUAUCUAUUUUUUGCCACAGUCGUCUUCCCAGACAGAUCUGCAGCUCUGAGGUAGGCCGUGGCUGAAGGACAUGCCCCGCUCUGGCCAAAUGAGGUUUGCCAGCUUUUUUCCUGGCAGGGUGUCUGUGCCUUUAAUUGCAACAUUUCUCCAAACGGGCUGAGGGAUGCUUCACUCUUAAAACUCCAGAAGGCGGCUAAGAUUAGCUGCCCACAGAGGAGGACGAGCCGAGCCUCCUCCGGGCUCCCCAGGAGUCAUUCAGUCGUCUCCGGAGAGCUGCUUGCUUGACUGGCAGGAGGCCAGCGCCGUGACUCCUACAGCGGCACAGAGUCCAAGAGGAGAGAACUCUGCUAACCAAGCUCUGAUGCAGAUGCAAAGCUCUGGCAGGAAGGAGACCCAGGAGGCCUCCUGCAUAAGCAGCUGCUUUGGAAUCGCAGGAUGUUGCUCACGGCCCAUCUGCAGUAAUCUCACAGCCCACCAGUCGGAAACGAGGAUGCAGCAGGCAACUAACUGCUUGUUCACCAGCACAGAGGUGCUGUAAUGAAGAUGCAUCACUGAAUCUUUUCCCGAUGUUAAAGGCACAGGUGUCCUGAUGGGGGUGUUGGGGGAGAGUUGGCAACCCUGCCAUAAACACAUUUUGCUUACCACCUAAGUACGCAGGCUACCCGGGUUACAGAGUGUGAGAACUCUUUCACAGCGCCAGAGGACGGCCUGGAGGAACCAGGAUAGAUAGGAGAUCGCUUGGGAACUUCCUAUACGAUGCCACUUUUUCAAGGAGGAGCUGGAUGCAAAUCCAACAUUAUAAAUACAAAAUUUAUGGAUUCGACAUAACUCUCUCUCACGCCCACACCCCUGCCCCACUGUUUCCUUCCUGGCUGGCCACCGGCUGGCAUUUCAACCACAAGAUGCCGUGAUGGGAGAAUUCCACCACGGCCAAGUGGCAUUUGAGGACACCACUGGGCCAGUUAAGGCACCUGAGUUGGGUAUCCAGCCAGGAAGGACCAGGGUGCAGAGGACACAUGCCCCACCUCCAAAGCCUGGCUGGCAUCCUUCCUCGAAGCCUAUCCCUUCCAAGACGGAAACAAAGACAGAAGGACACAUGCACCACCUCCAGGGCUAUGUUACGUGGGUCGAUAAGAAGCCUACGGGAAGAUCUUGGAUUGAUCCACCUGCUCUCCUGCAGACCAGCCGACUCCGCCAUGAAACUCGCAAAGAUUUUGCCGUUGAACCUUCUGACAUUCCGGAAACUGUUUGAACGUUGACUUGGGUCCAUUCCAGCCAGGAGAUUUCGGAAGCUUCUCUCUUUCCAUUUUGCCCCCUCUCUCUACCCAGAGAGCUCCUUUUCAAACACGCAUUCCCUCAGCCCAGGGUCCCUUUGGGGGCUUCCCAAGUGGCAAUUUUGAACUCUCUCUCGCCUCAUCUUUUCGCAAGGCAGUCCUGACUGAGUCCAAAGACCAGGCACAAAAUACACUCCGCAUUGCGUUGCUGCUCAUCCCCCAUCCACCUCAACCAUUCUUGAUGGGAGGAGUGGGAGAGAAAGAUCUGGAGGACAGUCACCCACGGAAAUCAAACAGAAGAAGGGGAAAUCCAGCUCACAUGUCUCAAAGGCAAACAUGGUUUGCUAGAACAGAACCAGAACAUGCAAGGGGUCUAUCUGCUUUGAGCAUUUCUACACCCUCAACUCAGUGCUGGAAUCCAGAGCUGGGAGUCGGACCUUUAUGGUGUUGAGGCAGCCCUUGGGAAAUUCAAAAUGGACUCAACGCUUGUUUGAUUGGAGGGGGAAACAGGACACAGGGGCAACUCAGGGUUAGUACCAAAGCUGGAGCGUUAUUACCACAGAUGUCCUAAAUCCGUACUCUGUAACUAGCGGAAGCCUCCUGAACCCACCCCCAAGAACUGGACGCAAUAUCCACACCCCAGCCCCAUUGGACCUCUCUCAGAGUUGCAGCGAGAGAACGUUUUCCUGACCUGUCUGCUCUCCCUCUCCCCACACACACCCCACCCCACCCCACCCCGUUGGCGUGUGCUCAAGUUACUCCUUUCAACCCAGAGCUGUCCACACAGCCAAAGCCUUGAGUGAAUUUCCUGCCCCAUUGCAAAGCAAAGUUUUGCUGUCCUCAUACUUCUCCUCCAUGAGCCCACACCUGGCCCUUUCCCCCUGCAUCUCCAUAAAGCAAUUGUAUUUUUUAAAAAGGAGGGGGGGGACAUGAUUUCUGUCCAUGCUCAGAAACCUUUCACACUCACAAACAUUCUAAAAUCAAGGUGAUACAACAAAAUGAAAGAGAGGAAGAAAUAAGAAAUUAAAAAUAUGUUUACAGUCUCUUGCUGAUCCAGUAAUUGUAAAUAAUUCCAUUGCGAUAAGCUGCAAUUAAAUUUUAAAAAAGGGUUUUCAAUCCAUCACCAUUUUACCUUUACUGAUUUUAGAAGAUUUUAAAAUCUUGCUUUCUCUUUCUCUCUCUUUCUGUCUCCCUUUUUUCCUUUUAUUUUCCCUUCUAGGGUGGGAGGUGGGUUUAUUACUUGAUCAUUUAAUUUAGAAGGACAAAAAAGGAAAAGGAAAAAGUUUUAAAAACACACCAGAUGAACUUUUAGUGGGGGGCGGGGGGUGGGUUUAAAAUG